UCUGAUUAUAUGAAAGGUGCUUGCAUCUUGAUUUAAUUUUGAACGAGUGGCGGACGGGUGAGUAACACGUGGGUAACCUGCCCUUAAGUGGGGGAUAACAUUUGGAAACAGAUGCUAAUACCGCAUAAAUCCAAGAACCGCAUGGUUCUUGGCUGAAAGAUGGCGUAAGCUAUCGCUUUUGGAUGGACCCGCGGCGUAUUAGCUAGUUGGUGAGGUAACGGCUCACCAAGGCAAUGAUACGUAGCCGAACUGAGAGGUUGAUCGGCCACAUUGGGACUGAGACACGGCCCAAACUCCUACGGGAGGCAGCAGUAGGGAAUCUUCCACAAUGGACGCAAGUCUGAUGGAGCAACGCCGCGUGAGUGAAGAAGGCUUUCGGGUCGUAAAACUCUGUUGUUGGAGAAGAAUGGUCGGCAGAGUAACUGUUGUCGGCGUGACGGUAUCCAACCAGAAAGCCACGGCUAACUACGUGCCAGCAGCCGCGGUAAUACGUAGGUGGCAAGCGUUAUCCGGAUUUAUUGGGCGUAAAGCGAGCGCAGGCGGUUUUUUAAGUCUGAUGUGAAAGCCCUCGGCUUAACCGAGGAAGUGCAUCGGAAACUGGGAAACUUGAGUGCAGAAGAGGACAGUGGAACUCCAUGUGUAGCGGUGAAAUGCGUAGAUAUAUGGAAGAACACCAGUGGCGAAGGCGGCUGUCUGGUCUGUAACUGACGCUGAGGCUCGAAAGCAUGGGUAGCGAACAGGAUUAGAUACCCUGGUAGUCCAUGCCGUAAACGAUGAAUGCUAGGUGUUGGAGGGUUUCCGCCCUUCAGUGCCGCAGCUAACGCAUUAAGCAUUCCGCCUGGGGAGUACGACCGCAAGGUUGAAACUCAAAGGAAUUGACGGGGGCCCGCACAAGCGGUGGAGCAUGUGGUUUAAUUCGAAGCAACGCGAAGAACCUUACCAGGUCUUGACAUCUUUUGAUCACCUGAGAGAUCAGGUUUCCCCUUCGGGGGCAAAAUGACAGGUGGUGCAUGGUUGUCGUCAGCUCGUGUCGUGAGAUGUUGGGUUAAGUCCCGCAACGAGCGCAACCCUUAUGACUAGUUGCCAGCAUUUAGUUGGGCACUCUAGUAAGACUGCCGGUGACAAACCGGAGGAAGGUGGGGAUGACGUCAAAUCAUCAUGCCCCUUAUGACCUGGGCUACACACGUGCUACAAUGGAUGGUACAACGAGUUGCGAGACCGCGAGGUCAAGCUAAUCUCUUAAAGCCAUUCUCAGUUCGGACUGUAGGCUGCAACUCGCCUACACGAAGUCGGAAUCGCUAGUAAUCGCGGAUCAGCACGCCGCGGUGAAUACGUUCCCGGGCCUUGUACACACCGCCCGUCACACCAUGAGAGUUUGUAACACCCGAAGCCGGUGGCGUAACC
rnacentral:rRNA from 1 species